AGAGAGAGACAUGCGCGCAUAUCAAUAAGCGGAGGAAAAGAAACUAACAAGGAUUCCCCUAGUAACGGCGAGUGAAGCGGGAAGAGCUCAAAUUUGAAAUCUUAAAGGGUUUCCCUUUACGAAUUGUAGUUUAAAGAAGUGUUUUCUGUUGAGGUUUUGGUAAAAGUUCUUUGGAAUAGGACAUCAUAGAGGGUGAGAAUCCCGUAUUUGACCUUUACUUUCAACUUUGUGAUACACUUUCAAAGAGUCGGAUUGUUUGGGAAUGCAGUCCAAAAUGGGUGGUAAAUUUCAUCUAAAGCUAAAUAUUGGCGAGAGACCGAUAGCGAACAAGUACCGUGAGGGAAAGAUGAAAAGAACUUUGAAAAGAGAGUUAAACAGUACGUGAAGUUGUCAAAAGGGAAGCGUUUGACACCAGUGUUGUUUUUCUGAAAAUCAAUUAAAGAACUGUUUAUGCUAAGCUGUUUAGACUUUAUCAGCUAACUGUUUAGUUUUGAGCUUUUCUUUAAUGCACUUUUCAGUUAACAAGUCAACAUCAAUUUCUUUUGCUGUAAAAAAGCUUGAGGAAGGUGGCUUGAGAUUCGUCUUAAGUGUUUAUAGCCUCUUGCCUAUGCAGUCGGAGAGAUUGAGGUCUGCAGCGUAGAUCCUUCGGGGCUAAAUGCAUUUGUGCUAAGUUAUAGCAUUUUAUAGACAACUUGUUGACUAUGAUUUGUCUUGUAGCUUACUCGCUUAUGUUAUUUUACCUACGCUUAGGAUGUUGACGCAUGAGAUAUACGC
rnacentral:rRNA from 1 species